rnacentral:miRNA from 1 species
GUAUGUGUGCAUGUGCAUGUGU